rnacentral:rRNA from 1 species
CGCUGGCGGCGUGCUUAUCACAUGCAAGUCGAACGAGGUCCACUGCGUAGCAAUACAAGGGAAGACCUAGUGGCGAACGGGUGCGUAACACGUGAGGAACUUGUCCCGGUCUCUGGGAUAACAGUUGGAAACGACUGCUAAUACCGGAUGACGUCGGAAUCUCGCAUGGGAUACUGACGAAAGGGUUACUGGAUCGGGAGAGCCUCGCGGCCUAUCAGCUUGUUGGUGAGGUAACGGCUCACCAAGGCAUCGACGGGUAGCUGGUCUGAGAGGAUGAUCAGCCACACUGGGACUGAGACACGGCCCAGACUCCUACGGGAGGCAGCAGUGGGGAAUCUUGCGCAAUGGGCGAAAGCCUGACGCAGCAACGCCGCGUGCGGGAAGAAGGCCCUCGGGUUGUAAACCGCUUUCAGUAGGAACGAAAAUGACGGUACCUGCAGAAGAAGGUGCGGCCAACUACGUG